GACGAACGCUGGCGGCGUGCUUAACACAUGCAAGUCGAGCGGUAAGGCCCUUUCGGGGGUACACGAGCGGCGAACGGGUGAGUAACACGUGGGUGACCUGCCCUCAGCUCUGGGAUAAGCCUGGGAAACCGGGUCUAAUACUGGAUAUGACUCCAUGACGCAUGUUGGUGGGGUGGGAAGCCUUGUGCGGCUGAGGAUGGGCCCGCGGCUUAUCAGCUUGUUGGUGGGGUGAGGCCUACCAAGGCGACGACGGGUAGCCGGCCUGAGAGGGCGACCGGCCACACUGGGACUGAGACACGGCCCAGACUCCUACGGGAGGCAGCAGUGGGGAAUCUUGCGCAAUGGGCGAAAGCCUGACGCAGCGACGCCGCGUGAGGGAUGACGGCCUU
rnacentral:rRNA from 1 species